rnacentral:rRNA from 1 species
CAGCAGCCACGGUAAUACAGAGGGUGCGAGCGUUAAUCGGAUUUACUGGGCGUAAAGCGUGCGUAGGCGGCUUUUUAAGUCGGAUGUGAAAUCCCUGAGCUUAACUUAGGAAUUGCAUUCGAUAAUGGGAAGCUAGAGUAUGGGAGAGGAUGGUAGAAUUCCAGGUGUAGCGGUGAAAUGCGUAGAGAUCUGGAGGAAUACCGAUGGCGAAGGCAGCCAUCUGGCCUAAUACUGACGCUGAGGUACGAAAGCAUGGGGAGCAAACAGGAUUAGAUACCCCAGUAGUCCCUGUCUCUUAUAU